CUUUAAUAAGAAGCAAAAAUUGCAUUUAGUUUCGACCUAAAAGUUUGAUGUUUAACAUCCUUAUUUG
rnacentral:tRNA from 1 species